rnacentral:rRNA from 1 species
UACGAAGGGAGUUAGCGUUAUUCAUAAUGAUUGGGCGUAAAGGGUUCGUAGAUUGACAAUUUAAUCUUUGGUGAAAUCUUAAGUAAAUUAAAGUGCCUUAGAUAUUAGUUGUCUGGAGUGAAUUAGAGGAUAACAGAAUUCUGUACAUGAGGAGUAAAUCUGCUGACCUACAGAGGAAUGCCAGAGGCGAAGGCGGUUAUCUGGGAUAUCACUGACAUUGAGGACGAAAGCGUGGGGAGCAAACAGG